rnacentral:rRNA from 1 species
AGUGAACGCUGGCGGUAGGCCUAACACAUGCAAGUCGAACGGCAGCACAGUAAGAGCUUGCUCUUACGGGUGGCGAGUGGCGGACGGGUGAGGAAUACAUCGGAAUCUACUUUUUCGUGGGGGAUAACGUAGGGAAACUUACGCUAAUACCGCAUACGACCUACGGGUGAAAGCAGGGGAUCUUCGGACCUUGCGCGAUUGAAUGAGCCGAUGUCGGAUUAGCUAGUUGGCGGGGUAAAGGCCCACCAAGGCGACGAUCCGUAGCUGGUCUGAGAGGAUGAUCAGCCACACUGGAACUGAGACACGGUCCAGACUCCUACGAGAGGGAGCAGUGGGGAAUAUUGGACAAUGGGCGCAAGCCUGAUCCAGCCAUACCGCGUGGGUGAAGAAGGCCUUCGGGUUGUAAAGCCCUUUUGUUGGGAAAGAAAAGCAGCAGGUUAAUACCCCGCUGUUCUGACGGUACCCAAAGAAUAAGCACCGGCUAACUUCGUG